GCUGGGCGUGGUGGCGCAUGCCUGUAAUCCCAGCUACUGAGGAGGCUGAGGCAGGAGAAUCGCUUGAACCAGGGAGUCGGAGGUUGCAGUGAGCCAAGAUCACGCCACUGCACUCCAGCCUGGCGACAGAGCGAGAUUCCGUCUCAA
rnacentral:SRP_RNA from 1 species